rnacentral:rRNA from 1 species
GACGAACGCUGGCGGCGUGCUUAACACAUGCAAGUCGAACGGAAAGGCCCUGCUUUUGUGGGGUGCUCGAGUGGCGAACGGGUGAGUAACACGUGAGUAACCUGCCCUUGACUUUGGGAUAACUUCAGGAAACUGGGGCUAAUACCGGAUAGGAGCUCCUUCUGCAUGGUGGGGGUUGGAAAGUUUCGGCGGUUGGGGGUGGACUCGCGGCUUAUCAGCUUGUUGGUGGGGUAGUGGCUUACCAAGGCUUUGACGGGUAGCCGGCCUGAGAGGGUGACCGGCCACAUUGGGACUGAGAUACGGCCCAGACUCCUACGGGAGGCAGCAGUGGGGAAUAUUGCACAAUGGGCGGAAGCCUGAUGCAGCAACGCCGCGUGCGGGAUGACGGCCUUCGGGUUGUAAACCGCUUUCGCCUGUGACGAAGCGUGAGUGACGGUAAUGGGUAAAGAAGCACCGGCUAACUACGUG